rnacentral:lncRNA from 1 species
GUUUGUAUUAGAAGUUAUUGGCUUUAAACUAGUUACCAGUUAUUGUGAGUACUACCAGAUCUUACUAUGUGUAUUAAGUGUAUUUUUGUGGGGUUUUUUUUUGUUUUUUUUUUUUGGGGGGGUCCUCUUGUCAUUGACAUUAGUCAAGUCUUUUUCUGCCUAUUCUUGUUCUUUUGUUUUGCUGUUACAACACUUCUCAGGUCAGAGAAAGGUUAGGGUUUUUAAACAUAUUCAACUCCGCUACAUUCUGUAUGUGCCUGAUACAAAUAAGAAUCAUGUAACUGAGUUGUAGUUGUUUGUUGAUGUAUUUUAUAUUUGUGAUUAGUAUAUGUUUUUUUUAUAAAUCAGACCAUUAGUUUUUCUUAUUCGACUUGUUUUACAUUUGUCAUAUGAGGUAUGUAUUUUGUUCAUGGUUGAAAGCUGUCCGGGUUCGGUGGAUAGUUGUCUGAUCCGUUAUCAUACGACAUCUUCUUAUUUUGUAUUAUCAGUCGAGUUAAAUUGCCUAGCUGUAUCCACCUUUUUCACACUGAUGAUAUGUCUGUGUCUUUGCCUUACUACUACAUGAACAUAUCCAAUCCCGAUAGCAAUCACUAGAAAUAUCAUGUUAAUACUGACAAUCAUGUCUGCUAGUAAAUUAAAAGUCAUAUGCAUAAUUCAGAUUUGUUAGCACUUUUCCAAUAGCAUACAACGUUUAAUGCAUGCGAGACCCCGAGUUUCAUGGCCAUUCCGAUUGUAUUCAUACGUAUUAUUGUCGCUGUUAUACCUGGAUUUAUGCAUUAUAAAAUAGAUAACUGUACAUUUUUUCCACUAAAUCACAAAUGCUAAUGGCGUUUAUUAGUCAAGGACUGUAAUUUGAGUUAUGAUAUUUACGAUGUAACAGCCUGUAGGAUAUAUGUUUUGGGAACGACAAUAGAAGAACUGUUAUCAUGUUGAAAUUAAUUAACAUUAAAAUAUUUCAAUAUAUGGACGACCAUUAAAUUUUGGUACUCGUUCGGUGAUUUAAAACAAACGCAUUUGUGUUAGUAUGCGAGAAAUUUUUCUUGCGUUCUCAAAUAGAUGAUAAAAAAAAAUCAUUUGAAUUUGUUAUUUUCAGUCGCCAGAUGGCCUUGAAUUGUUGAAAUACUCAUAUAAUUGAUAUAAGGUUUGCAGUUUAACAAAGUAGAUAUAUGUUUUACGUUAUAUAAGGAUUUUAUUAAAUUAGUUUAUUUUUUUAAUACCUUCUUUAAUUUGAUCAGGAAUAAACAACACAUAGCAGCAGAAGACGCCUACCAUGGCCCCCGCUGAUUUUUUUUUUUUUUUUUUUUUGUAGUUUGUAGUAAAUGUGACUCCCUCAGUUUCUAUUUAUUAAUUUCUAAACGAUUUCCGGGAAUUUGAAAACUCUUGUCGUCCAUGUUUAGUCUCAAUAUGAUCCAAUAUUUUUUAAAGUCAAUUGUACAACAGUCAAACUACACAAAAUUAGUUAUCUAAUUACUGUCUGCAUUUUAUAAAUGUAUACACUUAACAACCCUCAUGCAUAAUCAAGUAUAACGCAAAGUUAAAUGGGUUUACCAGUUAAAAGGGGAUGUUGCUAGUUCUACCAUAAAAUAAAUUUGUUUAGCAAAUUAAUAUGUCACCUUUCUUUUUUUAUAUAUUGUAAUUAUAUAAUGAAUAAACUCAUAACAAAAUUCACCAACAUUCCAACUGACUUCAUUGUCAGAAAACGACAUCUGUAACAAUCAUAAACUUGUAGCUACUUCUUUACAAGCAGAACCAAAUACAAUGAAAGUUCCAACUAUGUAAUGGCUUCCGAAGCUACACAAACAACCUUACAAAUAUAGAUUUAUUUCAUCUUCAAGCCAUUGUUCCACUACUAAAUUGUCUAUUCUACUUACUAGUACACUUGGUACAAUAAAAAACCUGAUAAUAAAUUGUUCAAAUAAGACCUUUGAAAAAGUGGAAUUAAUUACUUUUGAGUGCCAAAAACAUGUUGGAAGUACUUGAUGAAUUGCAUUUUUGGUGAUUUUGAAUCUGUUCAAAGUUUUGAUUUUUCUACCCUAUAUACCACUUUGCCUCAUAUUCUUAUUAAGAAAAAAAUCACAUUCCUAAUUAACUGGUCAUUUAAAAAGUCAGAAUGCGAAUACAUAUGUUCAAACUCUUUUAGAUCAUUUUUUAGUAGCAAUAAACAAAAGAACUAUGUUAAUUGGACAUGCUUUGAUACUAUAUUUGCGCUUGAAUUUUUACUUGAUAACAUUUUUGUUCGCUUUGAAGAUUCCGUAUAUCAUCAAGUUAUUAGAAUUUCAAUGGGGACUAACUGUACACCACUUAUUGCGGGCCUAUUUUUGUAUUGUUAUGAGUUACAAUUUAUGACUAAAAUUAGCAAAGACCCAUCGAAACAACAUUUGAUACAGAAAUUUAACAAUACUUUUAGAUAUUUGGAUGAUAUAUUUGCUCUCAAUAAUGACGACUUCAGUAUGUAUACUAAAGAAAUUUAUCCUUACCUUAAAUAAAGCUAAUACUAAUAAUGACCACUGCCCUUUCCUCGAUCUUGAUAUCUAUAUCAUUAACGAGAAGCUUCAUACAAAACUUUAUGAUAAAAGAGAUGAUUUUUCAUUUCCUAUCGUUAAUUAUCCAUUUUUAGAUGGUGACGUUCCCUUGUCACCAUGUUAUGGUGUUUAUAUAUCUCAACUUGUACGAUUUGCUCAUGUAUGUAACAACGUAUUAGAUUUUAGCGAGAGAAAUUUAUAUAUUACUAAAAGAAUAUUACACCAGGGUUUUCGAUAUCACAAACUAGUCAAAACAUUUACUAAAUUUUAUCAUCGGUAUAAGGAAAUGCAGACAUCUUAUACGUUUAGGUAUUUCACAUCCAAUCUUUUAUGGUAAUAUUCUUAACAAAGCAAAAAAAUGUCAGUAUUCACCUCAAAAACUUACAAAACCUUUAAACAGACUUAUUAAGAAGGGAUAUAGUUACGAUACUGUUGUAAGGUUAUUAAAGAUUGCAUAUUUUGGCGUUAGUAUUGAUUCACGUCUAGGGUCUUUGCACCGGAACUAAACACAUUUUUUUAAAACAGUUGUUGGUAUGAUACGGGUUAUGUUCUUCUCAUAUAUUUUAUGAUAGUAUGAUACUAAACCCUAACGGGAGGGAUUGUGCCUGAUAUUCAUAUGAUGAAGACAUAAUCUUUCAAUCAGUUUAAUUGUGGUCUGAAGCUGGCUAUCAGUUAACUGCUAGUAGUAUGUUGUUAUUUAUGUAGUAUUGUCAUUUUAUUUAUUUUCUUUUGUUACAUCUUCUGACAUCGGACUCGGACUUCUCUUGAACUGAAUUUUAAUGUGCGUAUUGUUAUGCGUUUACUUUUCUACAUUGGCUAGAAGUAUAGGGGAGGGUUGAGAUCUCAUAAACAUGUUUAACCCCGCCGCAAUUUUGCGCCUAUCCCAGGUCAGGAGCCUCUGGCCUUUGCUAGUCUUGUAUGAUUUUUAAUUUUAGUUUCUUGUGUAUAAUUCGGAGUUUAGUAUGACGUCCAUUAUCACUGAACUAGUAUACAUAUUUUUUAAGGGGCCAGCUGAUGGACGCCUCUGGGUGCUGGGGUUUCUCGCUACAUUGAAGACCCGUUGGUGGCCUUCGGCUGUUGUCUGCUCUAUGGUCGGGUUGUUGUUGCUUUGACACAUUCCCCAUUUCCUUUCUUAAUUUCAUUAUAGAUACGAGGCUAAAAUUUGUGUACGCCAGACGUGCAUUUCGUUUACAAAUAAACAAAUCAGUGAUGCUCGAAUUAAAAAAUUAAAAGUAGAAAAGACCAGAGAAAGUUCAAAGUUGGAGAGCAUUGAGAUCCCUAAAUUUUGAGUGUUUUGACAAAAACAACAAAGUGAGUAUAUUCCUGGUGUAGAAAUCUUUAAUGUUUCUAACAAUCAAAGUUAUGUAAGCAAUUAAUUUAUAACUAUGACCAUAUCAAUGAUAAUUAGUGUCAAGAUAACUUUAAUACAUUUUAACAUGAGAAACGAUUUACAUAGCAAUGGACAAAAAGAAGAAAAAAACAACAGGAAUAGUCAAUAAUUAUUGAUGAUAAGACGCAUUUUAUGAUCUCACAAUCAGUGCUAGUGGAAUAUGGCCGAUAUCAUCUACGAAACAAAAGAAAGUAAAUCUUUACCUUUCACGGUCUCAAAUUUAGUUCGUACAGUUUGGCACACACAGCUUCAACGAAGGGUUUCUGAGUGGACGCUGUUAUAAAGUCGGCAAAUCAGAAUCCAGUACGUCAUCUGUCCAAUCAUAAUUUUUAUCAAAUAGAAACGAAAGGAAAAACUGUAAUAAAAACCUUUCGUUCAUUAUUCCUGUCAAUUUUUUUAUAUGUUCGCAGGGUAGAUUUGGUAAAGAUGCAAAUAAUAAUAAAGUUUACAUUGGAACUAUGUGCCUCCAUAUAUUAAGAUUUAGUAAUAGAUAUUUCAGCAUAUGGAUUACUAACAAGUACAAACAAGUUUUUUUUUUUAUAUACUUGUUUGUUGUUAUGUUUAACGAGGCCGGGAUAAGUUUCUACUAUUUUCUGUUUAUUGCUAACAAAUAUUAUACCAAAACCAAACUCGGUAAACUAGAUAUAAACAACCCCGCUCCUUAAAUCAAUUAUCUGAUAUAUCGUUCAUAGACUUAUCCAAGAUUUAGUAGCUAUUUGGUUAAUCAUUAUAUAUGAUUUCAAAAAGCUUUAUAGUAUUGCUCUAUGACGUCAAUAAAAUCAUAUCUAGCAAAAUCAAAACUUCAAUUUAAAAGUUAUCAAAUAUUUAUCCGUGUGUUCUGUAGUACUCGUUUCCAUUAUAUUCAUGCUCUUUGCAAAUGUUGUUUUUCCAUUUAUGUCCUUAUUCUGAAAAGUGCAGAUGGCGAUGAUAGAUUAGAUUAGCUGAAACAUGAAGCUAAAUUCCGUUUCUUAUUGAUAUUUCCUAAUUAAAUAAAAGUUAAAUAACAAUUGAUUCCUGUUUAACGAAUGCAUAUCUUUAAAAACUAGUUGAUUUUAUCAUUUUCUCAUUUUCGCUUGACUAUAGUUUAAUAUGCAUAGAUGACCUUAACCUCACAACUCAUUUGAAUAUUUGCUGUUAAAUACUCUUUAACUACGUUUCUGAUAAGCCUUCACAACUGUUUUAUGAUGAGUGCCACAUAUGACUCAUAUGUACAUGAAAUCAAUAUUAUAUUUAGCGAAAGGAUUUGUUUUUUUUUUUUUGGUGAUUGCAAUAUCUUAAUUAAUUAAAGCUGUCGAAAUCUUUUGACAAACUGUUUUAUAAAUUCUUUUCUAGCCUUUGACCACCAUCUUCCUUAUACUUUUUCGUUUGCCUCUAUAUGGAAUUAGUUAAUAAGCCAUGGCUUCGUUAGUUUAUUUUCGAUCUAUGAGUUUGACUGUCCCUCUGGUAUCUUUUGUCCCUCUUUUAUUAGCUCGUCCUCAUUCCUUCAUGAUUUGAACUUAGUUCUGUAGUAACUAUUUUUCCCUCUUAAAACACAUAACUACAUGUUGUGUCAUCAUUGACUGUAAAGUUCCUGAAACACUGUUGUGUGGUUUAAGUGGAGUUGCGCUGACAAACUGUUCUAGAAGUAUAUUAAGGCUUAGAAUUCUAAGUCAAAAGAGGUAUAACAUCUAGAAAAAAAUGAAUGAAAAUUUGCUGCCGAUAUGCAGAUUUCCAUGAUAACCUUCUUAAAAUCAUGACAUAUUAAAAAAAAUAUUGAAUAAACAUUUGCCGUCGAAAAUCACUUUUACAUAAAGUGUACUUUUUACCUACACAGUUUCAUGAAAUUGUGUUAAGUGGUUAAUAUUUGAUGCGAAGAAAAACUGUUGCAGUUUUGUUUCAUGUCAAAAUUCUAAAUUCAUGGAGGGGAGACGUAAAUUAUCGAAAUAAAACCAAUGAUUCAUAAUUUCCUGUAUCGACACCGUAUGCUCUUAUUAUCUACACAGUUUCGUAAAUUCUGGUGUGUGGUUUCAGAUGAGUUUAAUUGACAAACUAAUGCAAAGUGACUGGCCAAAAUUAUAAAUUCAAAGGUUCAUAACUCUUAGAAAAACAAUACUUAUCCUGUCGAUAUGCACAUCUACUAUGUUGUUUUGUUACAGAGGCGUUUCGAUGACAAGUAAAGGACUGACGGAUGGAUGGGUCAACAACAUAAAACCCUACACAACUUUGGUGCAUUUGUUAUGAUUAUCAGACAAACAGGAAUGCAUUAUACAUUCUUCAAAAUGUGACGAACCGCACUAUACUCAUCACCUGUUUAAGACUUAUAUGAGCAACAAGAUGUGUGCCACAUGAAGAGCAGGAUCUGCCUACCUUUCCUAAGAACCAGC